rnacentral:rRNA from 1 species
GCACAAGCGGUGGAGCAUGUGGUUCAAUUCGACGCAACGCGAAGAACCUUACCUGGGCUAGACAACGGCGGACCGUCCUAGAAAUAGGACUUUCCUUUCGGGGACCACCGGUUCAGGUGCUGCAUGGCUGUCGUCAGCUCGUGCCGUGAGGUGUUGGGUUAAGUCCCGCAACGAGCGCAACCCUCGUCCUUAGUUGCCACCAUUCAGUUGGGCACUCUAGGGAGACUGCCGGCGUUAAGCCGGAGGAAGGUGGGGACGACGUCAAGUCAUCAUGGCCCUUACGGGCUGGGCUACACACGUGCUACAAUGGCGGUGACAGUGGGACGCAAUGGGGUAACCCUGCGCAAAUCUCAAAAAGCCGUCUCAGUUCGGAUUGUGCUCUGCAACUCGAGCACAUGAAGUUGGAAUCGCUAGUAAUCAUGGAUCAGCACGCCACGGUGAAUACGUUCCCGGGC